AUGAACGCUGGCGGCGUGCCUAAUACCUGCAAGUCGAGCGAACAGAUGAGGAGCUUGCUCCUCUGACGUUAGCGGCGGACGGGUGAGUAACACGUGGAUAACCUACCUAUAAGACUGGGAUAACUUCGGGAAACCGGAGCUAAUACCGGAUAAUAUAUUGAACCGCAUGGUUCAAUAGUGAAAGACGGUUUUGCUGUAACUUAUAGAUGGAUCCGCGCCGCAUUAGCUAGUUGGUAAGGUAACGGCUUACCAAGGCAACGAUGCGUAGCCGACCUGAGAGGGUGAUCGGCCACACUGGAACUGGGACACGGUCCAGACACCGACGGGAGGCAGCAGUAGGGAAUCUUCCGCAAUGGGCGAAAGCCUGACAUAGCAACGCCGCGUGAGUGAUGAAGGUCUUCGGAUCGUAAAACUCUGUUAUUAGGGAAGAACAAAUGUGUAAGUAACUAUGCACGUCUUGACGGUACCUAGUCAGAAAGCCACGGCUAACUACGUG
rnacentral:rRNA from 1 species